CCUGCGGCGGCCUAAUACAUGCAAGUCGAACGGCUAACAGGUCCCGGCAACGGGAGCUGACGAGUGGCGCACGGGUGCGUAACACGUAUGCAACCUACCCUGUACUGGGGGAUAACCCUGAGAAAUCGGGGCUAAUACUCCAUGGUAAUAUAGAUGGGCAUCCAUUUAUAUUUAAAGAUUCAUUGGUACGGGAUGGGCAUGCGCCCCAUUAGUUAGUUGGUGAGGUAACGGCUCACCAAGGCAUUGAUGGGUAGGGGUUCUGAGAGGAUUAUCCCCCACACUGGUACUGAGACACGGACCAGACUCCUACGGGAGGCAGCAGUAAGGAAUAUUGGGCAAUGGAGGCAACUCUGACCCAGCCAUGCCGCGUGCAGGAAGACGGCCCUAUGGGUUGUAAACUGCUUUUUUAUGGGACUAACCGUGGAUACUAGUAUUCACCAGCAUGUACCAUAAGAAUAAGCAUCGGCUAACUCCGUGCCAGCAGCCGCGGUAAUACGGAGGAUGCGAGCGUUAUCCGGAUUUAUUGGGUUUAAAGGGUGCGUAGGCUGACAUGUAAGUCAGUGGUGAAAGACCCCGGCUUAACCGGGGGGUUGCCAUUGAAACUGUAUGUCUUGAGUGUAAUCGAAGUGGGCGGAAUGAGGGGUGUAGCGGUGAAAUGCAUAGAUAUUCCUCAGAACACCGAUAGCGAAGGCAGCUCACUAGCUUACAACUGACGCUGAGGCACGAAAGCGUGGGUAUCAAACAGGAUUAGAUACCCUGGUAGUCCACGCUGUAAACGAUGAUCACUAG
rnacentral:rRNA from 1 species